rnacentral:rRNA from 1 species
AGUGGCAGACGGGUGAGUAAUGUAUAGGAAUCUACCUAGUAGUACGGAAUAAUUGUUGGAAACGGCAACUAAUACCGUAUACGCCCUACGGGGGAAAAAUUUAUUGCUAUUAGAUGAGCCUAUAUUAGAUUAGUUAGUUGGUGAGGUAAAGGCUUACCAAGACAAUGAUCUAUAGCUGACCUGAGAGGAUGAUCAGCCACACUGGAACUGAGAUACGGUCCAGACUCCUACGGGAGGCAGCAGUGGGGAAUAUUGGACAAUGGGCGAAAGCCUGAUCCAGCCAUGCCGCAUGAGUGAAGAAGGCCUUCGGGUUGUAAAGCUCUUUUAGUGAGGAAGAUAAUGACGGUACUCACAGAAGAAGUCCUGGCUAACUCUGUGCCAGCAGCCGCGGUAAUACGGAGAGGGCUAGCGUUAUUCGGAAUCAUUGGGCGUAAAGGGCGCGUAGGCGGGUUAAUAAGUUAAAAGUGAAAUCCCAAGGCUCAACCUUGGAACUGCUUUUAAAACUGCUAGUCUAGAGAUUGAAAGAGGAUAGAGGAAUUCCUAGUGUAGAGGUGAAAUUCGUAAAUAUUANGAGGAACACCAGUGGCGAA